GCCUACAGCCACACCACCCUGAAAGCACCUCAUCUCGGAAGCGGUUCAGGGCCGGGCCUGGUUUGUACCUGGAUGGGAGACCGCCUGGGAAUAUCAGGUGUCGUAGGCU
rnacentral:rRNA from 1 species